UUAUACCCGCGCAGGCGCAGCCUGCAAACGCCAAGCUGUUAGCCCCGGAGAAACGAUUCCUGAUUGUGGGGAAUGUGGGCCGAAGCAUAACCACCAUGUUUUAAAGGCUCUGUCGGUAAAACCAUACAAAUAUGAGUACGUGCUUACAACAGAUGAAAGAGAGAGAGUCACCAAUAUACUAACAAUAAUCACCUCUGAACCAUGGGAUUUCAGGGAAAAAAAUAACAUGAGACCCUAUAGUGAAAUGGAACAUCUAUAAAUUUUGAAGCUAGAGAGGACAGAUUGAACAGUGCUUCUGUGAGGACUUGGGAAAUCAAUUAUCUGCUUUAACCUGACUGAUCUCAUCUUGUAAAUUUUUAUGAGGAUUACAUAAGAGUAUGUAAAGAACAUGCCAUGUCAGAACUUGUCAAGUCCUCAGGAUAAGAUGCUGUUUCAAAAUUGAUUAGUUCUCCGACCCGCCCACUGGAAUCAUCCAACCUAUUGAAGAAGCAGAAUGGGAUGUGGAUUAUAGGGUUUCAGAUAACACCAAGUCCCUUGUGAAAG